rnacentral:sRNA from 1 species
UUUCAGUACAUUGGAGAAUCACAAGGAUAUGAUAUCAUGGAACCAGCAGCAAAGAAGUGCUAUCUGGAAAGAGAGAACCUCAGAGUGACAGAGCCAAAAGACCAGUGCCUCAUUUUGCUGACAUGGAAAAGGAAACUUCGUGGGGGAAAGAGAUCUGCUUGCAGUCGGCCAGAGAGAAAGAACCGGGUCAGCGCGACUCCAAGUGCAUCAGCAUAGGCAUUGCCAGGAGCUCAUGAGGAAUGCAGACUGUCAGGUCCCACCCCAGACCUACUCAACAGAAACUACAUGGUAAGCAGAUUCCCAGGUGACUCCAGGCACCUUACAGUUUGAGAAGCACUGCUGCAUGCUCUCCUACCUUCCUGGUCUGUAACAUCUGUUGCUGUGAGUAUAAAGACACUGUGAACAUUGUAAAAUC